GUGCCAGCAGCCGCGGUAAUACGGAGGGUGCGAGCGUUGUCCGGAAUCACUGGGCGUAAAGGGCGCGUAGGCGGUCUGCUAAGCGUGCGGUGAAAGCCUGGGGCUCAACCCCAGGUCUGCCGUGCGAACUGGUGGACUCGAGCACUGUAGAGGCAGGUGGAAUUUCGGGUGUAGCGGUGGAAUGCGUAGAGAUCCGAAAGAACACCGGUGGCGAAGGCGGCCUGCUGGGCAGUAGCUGACGCUGAGGCGCGACAGCGGGGGGAGCAAACAGGAUUAGAAACCCGGGUAGUCC
rnacentral:rRNA from 1 species